rnacentral:rRNA from 1 species
AGAGUUUGAUCCUGGCUCAGGAUGAACGCUGGCGGCGUGCUUAACACAUGCAAGUCGAACGAACCUUCGGGUUAGUGGCGGACGGGUGAGUAACGCGUGAGAAUCUGCCCUCAGGAGGGGGAUAACAGUUGGAAACGACUGCUAAUACCCCAUAUGCCGAGAGGUGAAAUGAAUUUCGCCUGGGGAUGAGCUCGCGUCUGAUUAGCUUGUUGGUGGGGUAAUAGCCUACCAAGGCUUCGAUCAGUAGCUGGUCUGAGAGGACGAUCAGCCACACUGGGACUGAGACACGGCCCAGACUCCUACGGGAGGCAGCAGUGGGGAAUUUUCCGCAAUGGGCGAAAGCCUGACGGAGCAACGCCGCGUGAGGGGUGGAGGCCUUUGGGCUGUAAACCUCUUUUCUCAAGGAAGAAGAUCUGACGGUACUUGAGGAAUAAGCCACGGCUAAUUCCGUGCCAGCAGCCGCGGUAAUACGGGAGUGGCAAGCGUUAUCCGGAAUUAUUGGGCGUAAAGCGUCCGCAGGCGGCCGUUUAAGUCUGUUGUUAAAUCGUGGAGCUCAACUCCAUCACGGCAAUGGAAACUGUUCGGCUUGAGUAUGGUAGGGGCAGAGGGAAUUUCCGGUGUAGCGGUGAAAUGCGUAGAUAUCGGGAAGAACACCAGUGGCGAAAGCGCUCUGCUGGGCCAUUACUGACGCUCAUGGACGAAAGCCAGGGGAGCGAAAGGGAUUAGAUACCCCUGUAGUCCUGGCCGUAAACGAUGAACACUAGAUGUUGGGGGAAUCGACCCCCUCGGUGUCGUAGCUAACGCAUUAAGUGUUCCGCCUGGGGAGUACGCACGCAAGUGUGAAACUCAAAGGAAUUGACGGGGGCCCGCACAAGCGGUGGAGUAUGUGGUUUAAUUCGAUGCAACGCGAAGAACCUUACCAAGGCUUGACAUCCUGCGAAUCUCUAAGAAAUUAGAGAGUGCCUUCGGGAACGCAGUGACAGGUGGUGCAUGGCUGUCGUCAGCUCGUGUCGUGAGAUGUUGGGUUAAGUCCCGCAACGAGCGCAACCCACGUUUUUAGUUGCCAGCAUUCAGUUGGGCACUCUAGAAAGACUGCCGGUGACAAACCGGAGGAAGGUGUGGACGACGUCAAGUCAUCAUGCCCCUUACGCCUUGGGCUACACACGUACUACAAUGCUGCGGACAAAGAGUAGCGAUCUUGCGAAAGUUAGCUAAUCUCAUAAACCGUGGCUCAGUUCAGAUCGUAGGCUGCAACUCGCCUACGUGAAGGAGGAAUCGCUAGUAAUCGCAGGUCAGCAUACUGCGGUGAAUACGUUCCCGGGCCUUGUACACACCGCCCGUCACACCAUGGAAGUUGGCCAUGCCCGAAGUCGUUACUCUAACCUUUUGGAAGAGGGCGCCGAAGGCAGGGCUAGUGACUGGGGUGAAGUCGUAACAAGGUAACC